UCUUCUUCUUCCCUUUUCUCUCUAUUCAUGAUUCUAUUACUAUUUGUUUUUAAUUUUGUGUUAUUCAGUUGUGAUAUUUUUCUCAAAUUUCAUUUGUGACUUUUCAAUUUCGUCGCUACAGAUAAUCAGAAAAAUGAAUAGCUUUGUGUGGAUGGACAUUGAUUAGAGGAAACUCAUUUUCAUUUUCUUCUGAGUCAGCUCAUAGAAACCAUUAAGGAAAAAUUUGAACUACGUAUUAGUUUAUAUUCAGUUUAGUUAGAAAAUUCAUGAUUUUUCGAUGGUACCAAUUAAUUAUGCUAAUUGCUUAACUUUUUUUCAUUUUAUGGAGUAUUUUAUUGUGGAAUUCUUGUUUUGUAAUUAUAAUCUUCUGGGUUUACCCAUCCACAUCUUUUCAACUAUUUAUUAUUUAUGAGUUUUAAUUUUUCAAUGCAUGACAUUACUAAAUAUCUAUUGAUUUAUAUAGUUGGAAUGUAAUAGUUGAAAAUUUUUUAUUUCACAGGUUUAUAAAGAAGGAAAUUGUUCAAGGUGCGAAAAAAAGGGCACUCUGCUUCGAUUAUAUGAGGUCAGGAGCUGGAUGAUCUUGUUGAGGAAGUGGUUGAUCAUAAGUUGCAUCUUAUGCUGUAGUAGGAUACUCAAUAGUUGGAUGCAUGCAAUUUCAUUGCCAAAAUAGAUACAAUAUUACAAGGAGUAUCAAUUCAAGAUAGCAAAAGUUGCAGGCAAACAGAAAGCAACAUCAAUACUAAAGGAUGCACUUUAUAUAUUAAGUGUUGAGUUGCUCAAGACUAUUGAGAGGGCUGGCUACAAGAAGUUGUCUUCCAUACAAAUGACUACCAUUCUGCUUGGAUUUCAACAACGUGAUGUGAUUGGUGUCGUAGAGAGUGGAUCAGGUAAAACUGCUGCCUUUGUACCCUAUGUUGACGUACAUCGCUAGGCUUCCUCCAUUGAGUGAGGAGAAGGAGACGGAGGGGCCAUAGACGAUUGUAAUGACGCUCACUCGGGAACUUGCUCAGUAAAUUGAGGAUGACAUUGUCAAGUUUGCACACUAUUUGGGUAUGUUUUUUAGUUAAGGGUUCUUAUGACGCGGAUUUGACAAAUUUGUUCUAGCAAAUUUACGAAUAUAUUCCAGAUCCAUUAAAUUUACAAUGAUUAUCUAUUUUAAUAAAUUUGUUAUAUGUAGUCUGUUUUUGUGUUUUGUUAUUACAUGUCAUCUCUUUUUUUCUUUC